rnacentral:lncRNA from 1 species
UUAAGAAAGUGAAUACAGUAGGAGGACAGAAGCCAUUAAAAGCUAAAAAAUAUAUUCUCAGAUGUUUUUAAUGGCAUAGCAAAGCUAUCAACAGAACACAAAAUAAAGUUAGCAGAAUUCAAAUUCCCUGUUGCACAUGUGCCAACACAUACUUAGAAGCAUACUGAGAUGAAAACUUAAGGAAGAAAUUAGACUUACUGCUCUGAAUCCAGAAGAGAGUACUGACACACUUUUAGAAUGGGUCUUUUGUCUACCAGCUCCAGAACAGGAAGCAGAAACCUUUUACCCACACCUUGAGCUUAAAAGACACAAGGAGCAGGACUUUUUACAAGAGCAUGGAAUGACAGGACAAGGGGAAUGGCUCCACACUGACAGAGAGCAGGGUUAGACUGGAUAUUAGAAAGAAAUUCUUCCUGUGAGAGUGGCAAGGCCCUGGUGCAGGUUGCCCAGAGCAGCUGUGGCUGCCCCAUCCCUGGCAGUGUCCCAGGCCAGGUUGGAUGGGGCUCUGAGCAACCUGGGAGUUGCCCCCUGUCCAUGACGGGGUGGGAUGAGAAGAGCUUUAAUGCCACUUCCAACAUAAACUAUUCUGUGAUUUCAUGUUCUACCUACCCCCUGAGGGGCCAAGGCUGUACAGAUCUCCACAUAUCUACCAGGAAGAGUGUUUCUUCAUAAAUACAUUUUCCCCCUCUUCCUCUCAUCUCACCCUAAUUAGCUCAAUGGGGUGGUGGAAAAUGUCUUUAGAAAGAAAAUUAUAGUCCGUGAAAUUUUAACUUAGACCCUCUAAAUACAGUGCUUCCCUGUAAAUAUUAGGCCAUGCUCUGCAUCCAUAUAAUUUCCUGAAAGGAUAUCCAGACAUGGGAAUAUACUGAAGUUUAGCAAUGGUAUUUUGCUGUGAGUAUAAACAAUAGAAUGGUAUCAUGGACUGGGAGUUGGUGCUGUAAGCCUGGAACAUAACAGACAGCAAUGUAAAGGUAGAAGUGAAUAAUUAACUUCUAUAGGAAAACCAGGACUGAUCUAGGGGCCCUUCUAGGCCUUGGGGGGUUAGAGAUGGCUAUCAAUAUUGCUUUACUUACAGAGAAGGAAAGUACACAUGAAUGAUAGAUUUGGCUGGAAAAAAUUCUAUCCAAUUUUUCUGCCAUAAUUGUUGAUCUAAAAAACCUUAAUCUGCAAAAAAUGUGUACAUUAAUCAUAAUAAUUAGCUUAUGAAGAAGACACCAUUCCUUUGAUUUUUUUGGUAGUAAUUGCUCUACAGAAUCAUCACCUGGACCUGCUUUGUGAGAUCUUCCAACAACAUUUUUGCAACUAUGGAAAUCAUCGGAGACUGUAGGUAAUGUUGCAGGAAACCCAACAGAAGGUGAAUGCCAGCAAAUAUGGACAGAAAAAUUAAAAGUUCUCAGUGCUUAUGCAUGCACAGCCCUCCUCAUUUGCCAAGCAGGCUGUAAAUCGCUUAUGCCAGUGGUUGGAGGAAAGUUUCACAAACAGAAAAAGUUAUUUCCAUUGCAGAUGGAUGAUUUACAGCCAGAAUAUAAAACUGGAAAAGAUCUUGUGUCAGCAGACACUCUGUCUGAGUUUUCAGUAAAAGAGAGGUAGUACAAACACCAGAGUCUAACGUUAUUCAUGUAAAUACGUUCAAUAAAGUUUUCUCGGUCUCAGACAGGAUGACAUCGGUCACUGCAAGAGACAGUAAUGCAAAAAUGAGACUUUGCAAAAGGCAAUGCCAGUGAUUAAGGCUGGCUGACUUCUGAGCAUAAACCUACUCCUUUUAACAACUUUGAAGGAGAAAUUUAUGUGGCAGACAGCACUUUGCUCAGAGGUUCUAGAUCAUUGGUGUAUAAAACUGCAUUGUAGGAAAUACAAAAGUGAGUACCUGCACUUGUGGACAUCAGGAGUGGAGAAGACUGGUUUAAAAUCAUAAAAUAUUUGAUUCAAAAUUAGUGCAGAUUCAGGGGAGAAUAAAGUCCUAACAAUACAACAGCAAAUGUCAAAAAUAGGAAUAUUCAGAAACUAGAAGGGUGGGGGAGAAACUUCAAUUUUAAACAAUGUAAGACCUAUAGACCACACUUGAUGUAUAUAACUGUUCAUGUUUUGGCUGGCAGGACAAGCAGAUGCAGACUUAAGGUGUGCCAGAGGAAGUUUAGGUUGAACAUCAGGAAGAUUUUCUUCACCGAAAGGGAUGGUAACCAUUGGAAGGGGCUGCCCAGGGAGGUGUUGAAGUCCCCACCCCUGGAGUUGUCCAAGGAAUUCCUGGAUGUGGCACCCAGUGCUGUGGUCUGUGUGACAUGGUGGGGAUUGGGCACAGGCUAGACUCAGUGAUUUGGUCUUCCCCAAUCUUAAAAAUUCUGUGAUUGUAUGGUUAUUCCUGAUUUCCAGAAAUAGGAUCAUUAGGGUACUCAACCAUGAAAUUUGUGACCACACAUACAAAAUCUCUGUUUGCAUAGACGUUACUUGCCUUGGAGAACCAAAGAUGGUAUUAAUGCAUUUUUUGUAAAUUUAUAUACAUCUAUUGAAACAAACUGAUACAGAAGACACUAUGACAGCGUAUCACAUGACUUAAAGUCUUUUUAUGCACACAAGAGCACACUGAAGAUACUGACAGCAAAUAUCACUCGUGUCGUGUAAAACAAAUUCAUUCAUUUCCCUGAGAUUACUAAGAAAGUCCACAAAAAUAGCGCCCCCCUUAAAGCUGAACAAAAGAAAGAGGGAAUGUGGACAUCUUGAGCCUCCAAGAUCUUAAUCAGAGCAGACUAGAAAUGGAGAGGGUACUGGCCAACAUCUGUCUGAGGACUGAACAAAACAUUGUGGAGAGCUACAACCAAAGGCGCACCAGCUCAGAGCCCAGUGGACAGCUCUGAAUUUGCUGCACCAUCAGGUGAAUUUUGUCCCUUCCUUCAUGAAGAAGUUUAAGUCCUCAGUGAGGUCCAAGACCUUAUUUUAGUUUACACCUACCAAUGCAAGCAGCCUGACUUUGCUCUGGGAGUCUUCUCCUUUUCUCCCAAACUCUUCCUUUGAGCAGUUAGCUUACUUGGAAAAUGCCAAGUGAUAUUUUUGGCCACCAGCUGAAGACAACAGAUGAGCCUCAUAGAACUUAGAGUUCAGGUAGACAACCAUAAUGAUGGUAGAUGGAAAAGGGAAGCAACAGAAGCUGAAUGGUAAGAGACAGACAGAGGGAAAAGAAACCAUCUAAUUCCAUCAGUAUGUUACUAAAAGUUUCCAUUUUCAUCUCCACCAGAAUCUGUUUCAAGGCAGUUUAAAGAAACAGACCAUCUUCUGGGCAAAUUAAGUUCUGCAAAAGAAAGGGUGAGAGACUUGCAAUAUUUGUAGUGUAUAUAAUAAUUUUCUUCCCAGGAAACUGUGCCAGUACUACAGGGUGCAGCCAUCCUGCAAAGUCUGCUCCUACUCAGCUGUAUUACUCACCCAGAGUUGAUCAAUACUAGCAGCUCAAGGUCCCUGAAGUAACUUUCUAGACUUGCAAGAUUUAUUAUAGCCAUUUCGUCUUGAUCCCUCCCUAGAUUUCCCCCGUUUUGUGUAUUUAGACCUCAAUGGAGGGAAAUAAUUUAGAAAUAUACUUAAAGAUGUGAUUAAUGCCUAAAGACAUCAAUAGCAGGUAAGCACAUAAUUACUUACAUCUAAAAUAAAGAUGAGGUUUGUACACUUUAAGUGCAUUCCUAAAAAGAUUCCUUAAGGGACAUAUUUUCAUCUUGUUCUGCUUGCCUGUAAAGUGCCUAGCACA